UGCAUUUGGAUUAUCAAGUGUUCUUUCCCAUUAGCAUUGAAAUGCAAAACAAUGUAAAUAAUUUAUAAGCAGAGAGGAAAGCUUUAUUAAAACGAGAUCACAAAAAUCUUACGGCUCCUUAGAUUCUACAACUACUGCACUCAAUUGCUGGACUAAAAUCUGCAGAUUAAAGGCACACUUCAGCAACCCUGGCAGCCCGCAAACAUAGAAUGACAAGAUGGGCUUUCUUCAAAUACCAUUAUUU